GCCUGGGUGGCUCAGUUGGUUAAGUGUCUGACUUCGGUUCAGGUUAUAAUCUCACUUUCAUGGGUUCGAACCCCAUGUCGGGGCC
rnacentral:tRNA from 1 species